UUUUCCAGGCAAAUCCGGAAAACCAAGGCUGAGGCGUGAUGACGAGGCACUACGGUGCUGAAGCGACAAAUGCCCUGCUUCCAGGAAAAGCCUCUAAGCAUCAGGUAACAUCAAAUCGUACCCCAAACCGACACAGGUGGUCAGGUAGAGAAUACCAAGGCGCUUGAGAGAACUCGGGUGAAGGAACUAGGCAAAAUGGUGCCGUAACUUCGGGAGAAGGCACGCUGAUAUGUAGGUGAAGCGACUUGCUCGUGGAGCUGAAAUCAGUCGAAGAUACCAGCUGGCUGCAACUGUUUAUUAAAAACACAGCACUGUGCAAACACGAAAGUGGACGUAUACGGUGUGACGCCUGCCCGGUGCCGGAAGGUUAAUUGAUGGGGUUAGCGGCAACGCGAAGCUCUUGAUCGAAGCCCCGGUAAACGGCGGCCGUAACUAUAACGGUCCUAAGGUAGCGAAAUUCCUUGUCGGGUAAGUUCCGACCUGCACGAAUGGCGUAAUGAUGGCCAGGCUGUCUCCACCCGAGACUCAGUGAAAUUGAACUCGCUGUGAAGAUGCAGUGUACCCGCGGCAAGACGGAAAGACCCCGUGAACCUUUACUAUAGCUUGACACUGAACAUUGAGCCUUGAUGUGUAGGAUAGGUGGGAGGCUUUGAAGUGUGGACGCCAGUCUGCAUGGAGCCGACCUUGAAAUACCACCCUUUAAUGUUUGAUGUUCUAACGUUGGCCCGUAAUCCGGGUUGCGGACAGUGUCUGGUGGGUAGUUUGACUGGGGCGGUCUCCUCCUAAAGAGUAACGGAGGAGCACGAAGGUUGGCUAAUCCUGGUCGGACAUCAGGAGGUUAGUGCAAUGGCAUAAGCCAGCUUGACUGCGAGCGUGACGGCGCGAGCAGGUGCGAAAGCAGGUCAUAGUGAUCCGGUGGUUCUGAAUGGAAGGGCCAUCGCUCAACGGAUAAAAGGUACUCCGGGGAUAACAGGCUGAUACCGCCCAAGAGUUCAUAUCGACGGCGGUGUUUGGCACCUCGAUGUCGGCUCAUCACAUCCUGGGGCUGAAGUAGGUCCCAAGGGUAUGGCUGUUCGCCAUUUAAAGUGGUACGCGAGCUGGGUUUAGAACGUCGUGAGACAGUUCGGUCCCUAUCUGCCGUGGGCGCUGGAGAACUGAGGGGGGCUGCUCCUAGUACGAGAGGACCGGAGUGGACGCAUCACUGGUGUUCGGGUUGUCAUGCCAAUGGCACUGCCCGGUAGCUAAAUGCGGAAGAGAUAAGUGCUGAAAGCAUCUAAGCACGAAACUUGCCCCGAGAUGAGUUCUCCCUGACUCCUUGAGAGUCCUGAAGGAACGUUGAAGACGACGACGUUGAUAGGCCGGGUGUGUAAGCGCAGCGAUGCGUUGAGCUAACCGGUACUAAUGAACCGUGAGGCUUAACCUUACAACGCCGAAG
rnacentral:rRNA from 1 species